CCUACGGGAGGCAGCAGUGGGGAAUUGUUCACAAUGGGCGCAAGCCUGAUGACGCAACGCCGCGUGGGGGAUGAAGGUCUUCGGAUCGUAAACCCCUGUCGAAUGGGACGAAUAGCUUCCGGAUUAAUACCCCGGAGGAAUGACGGUACCGUUAAAGGAAGCCACGGCUAACUCUGUGCCAGCAGCCGCGGUAAUACAGAGGUGGCAAGCGUUGUUCGGAAUUACUGGGCGUAAAGGGCGCGUAGGCGGCCAUCUAAGUCAGACGUGAAAUCCCCCGGCUCAACCUGGGAACUGCGUCUGAUACUGGAAGGCUAGAGUUUGGGAGAGGGAUGUAGAAUUCCAGGUGUAGCGGUGAAAUGCGUAGAUAUCUGGAGGAAUACCGGUGGCGAAGGCGGCAUCCUGGACCAAUACUGACGCUGAGGCGCGAAAGCUAGGGGAGCAAACGGGAUUAGAUACCCCGGUAGUCCUAGCCCUAAACGAUGAAUACUUGGUGUGGCGGGUAUCGAUCCCUGCCGUGCCGAAGCUAACGCAUUAAGUAUUCCGCCUGGGGAGUACGGUCGCAAGGCNGAACGACGAAGAAGUAGUACGGCGUGAGACGUGCCGACGGACGACGACGAGGGAGAGG
rnacentral:rRNA from 1 species